ensembl:misc_RNA Metazoa_SRP Metazoan signal recognition particle RNA
GCUGGGCAUGGUGACGCAUGCCUGUAGUCCCAGUUACUCAGGAAGCUGAGGUGGGAGGAUCACUUGAGCCUGGGGAGAUCGAGGUGGCAGGGAGCCGAGAUUGUACCACUGCGUUCUAGCCUGGGUAACAGAGUGAGACCCCAUCUCAA